UACACCCAAGCCAGGGUAGGGUUACAGAGAUGGCAAUGUUGAGCCUUUAGUUGGUUGUUUUGGCAAGCAUUUACAUGGUGUUAUUUCUACAGUAAUGUAAAAACGCUGAGCUUGUGUCAGAAAACUUAAAUGAAGAUUUCUGUGCCCACCUAGGAACUCUGGCAGCUGUAGAGAUUUUAACAGGCCAUGAUUAGUCCAAAGACAGCUCUCCAUGAGGAGAGCCCACCUGAGCUACACAGGAAUUUUGGUCUCCCACAAAGAGGAGGAAAGGUUUUCUUCUCUCUUCUCCUGCCUUGUCCCUUGUGUUCCUCCCAUGUCUUUCCAGGAAAACAAAUGUCCUUCUGAAACAGUGCUCUCAUUUUGCAGGAGCUGGUUGCCACCAGAUUUCCAGAAAACAAUGACAGGAGUAGUGGGUUUUCAACAUUAUUUUACUUACACAUCCUAAACAUUCUCCAGGAAAGUGCCGUAUUCCUCAUGGAUGGGGAAAGCUGGCAUGUCUCACGUGAAGGAAAAGCCCAGGUCCAUGCAUUUUAAGAGGCAGAAAAGAAAAAAAAAAUCAUGUAGCUAGAAAUCUUUUAUGUGUUCCUGCAAGACUUGAGGAUAAUCUGAAAUAUCCUUUGAGAAAGAUUCAUGAGUUGUCUUGCAAACUAGCACCAGUUUGAAUUUAGUCCUGUCCCAAACCUGUUUGACACUUGGGAAACCUUCAAGAGACUGAAAUCUUCCAACAAGUCUCACUUCAAGUGAGACUCACUUCCAACAAGACCCCACUCCAAGUCUCAUCUGCCUUGUCAGAAUGUUGUUUGUACAUAAAUUUUUCCUUCAAAUCUG